rnacentral:misc_RNA from 1 species
GAAAUGCGAUAAGUAGUGUGAAUUGCAGAAUUCAGUGAAUCAUCGAAUCUUUGAACGCACAUUGCGCCCUUUGGUAUUCCAAAGGGCAUGCCUGUUCGAGCGUCAUUUGUACCCUCAAGCUUUGCUUGGUGUUGGGCGUCUUGUCUCUAGCUUUGCUGGAGACUCGCCUUAAAGUAAUUGGCAGCCGGCCUACUGGUUUCGGAGCGCAGCACAAGUCGCACUCUCUAUCAGCAAAGGUCUAGCAUCCAUUAAGCCUUUUUUUUCAACUUUUGACCUCGGAUCAGGUAGGGAUACCCGCUGAACUUAAG